GACGAACGCUGGCGGCGUGCUUAACACAUGCAAGUCGAACGAUGAAGCUAGAGCUUGCUCUGAUGAAUUAGUGGCGAACGGGUGAGUAACACGUGAGUAACCUGCCCCGAACUCUGGGAUAACUGCUGGAAACGGUAGCUAAUACUGGAUACGACCUACGAAGGCAUCUUCUGUAGGUGGAAAGAAUUUCGGUUCGGGAUGGACUCGCGGCCUAUCAGCUUGUUGGUGAGGUAAUGGCUCACCAAGGCGACGACGGGUAGCCGGCCUGAGAGGGUGACCGGCCACACUGGGACUGAGACACGGCCCAGACUCCUACGGGAAGCAGCAGUGGGGAAUAUUGCACAAUGGGCGCAAGCCUGAUGCAGCAACGCCGCGUGAGGGAUGACGGCCUUCGGGUUGUAAACCUCUUUUAGUAGGGAAGAAGCGGAAGUGACGGUACCUGCAGAAAAAGCACCGGCUAACUACGUGCCAGCCGCCGCAGUAA
rnacentral:rRNA from 1 species